UACAGAGGGUGCGAGCGUUAAUCGGAAUUAUUGGGCGUAAAGGGCAUGUAGGUGGAUUUGCAAGUUUGAUGUGAAAGCCCCGGGCUUAACCUGGGAAUUGCGUUGGAAACUGCAAGACUAGAGUCGGACAGAGGGCAGUGGAAUUUCCGGUGUAGCGGUGAAAUGCGUAGAGAUCGGAAAGAACACCAGUGGCGAAGGCGUCUGCCUGGGUCCAGACUGACACUGAGGUGCGAAAGCGUGGGGAGCAAACAGG
rnacentral:rRNA from 1 species